CUGAGAGCUCUGCAGGGUGAGAGCAGAGCCAACACUGGACAGAGGGGCAGCAAAGUACGCUGCCGGGGAGAGAGAAAACUCUGCAACAUGGUGAUACUAUUAUACUGAUGUUAUAUUUAGCCGAAGAUACAAAUGAUGCUGAAGGAGAGACGCAGAGCACAAAGGAGGACUGGUGAUAUGGAUGUUUCUCCCGGCUUCUGACUCCAUUGUCACUUCCUGAUAGUCUCGAAGAGCACAAGUAUAAUGAUGCACAUAAGUGCCUUGAUCUGUGAUGGAAUGUACA